GAUGAACGCUGGCGGCGUGCCUAAUACAUGCAAGUCGAGCGAACAGACGAGGAGCUUGCUCCUCUGACGUUAGCGGCGGACGGGUGAGUAACACGUGGAUCACCUACCUCUAAGACUGGGAUAACUUCGGGAAACCGGAGCUAAUACCGGAUAAUAUAUUGAACCGCAUGGUUCAAUAGUGAAAGACGGUUUUGCUGUCACUUAUAGAUGGAUCCGCGCCGCAUUAGCUAGUUGGUAAGGUAACGGCUUACCAAGGCAACGAUGCGUAGCCGACCUGAGAGGGUGAUCGGCCACACUGGAACUGAGACACGGUCCAGACUCCUACGGGAGGCAGCAGUAGGGAAUCUUCCACAAAGGGCGAAAGCCUGACGGAGCAAUGCCGCGUGAGUGAUGAAGGUCUUCGGAUCGUAAAACUCUGUUAUUAGGGAAGAACAACUGUGUAAGUAACCAUCGACGUCCUGACGGUACCUAAUCAGAAAGCAACGGCUAACUUCGUG
rnacentral:rRNA from 1 species